rnacentral:rRNA from 1 species
AAGCGUGCGCAGGCGGUUAUGUAAGACAGAUGUGAAAUCCCCGGGCUCAACCUGGGAACUGCAUUAGUGACUGCAUAGCUGGAGUACGGCAGGAGGGGGAUGGAAUUCCGCGUGUAGCAGUGAAAUGCGUAGAUAUGCGGAGGAACACCGAUGGCGAAGGCAAUCCCCUGGGCCUGUACUGACGCUCAUGCACGAAAGCGUGGGGAGCAAACAGGAUUAGAUACCCUUGU